CAUAGAAAACUAAACUCCGAUGUGAAACUGUGCCACAACAAUUGGAAAUAGAAAUUCCAUGGGGAAACCGUGCGUGGCAAGCUACCGUUCGAGAAGACAAACAGUUCUGUUUAUUUUUCAGCUCCAAGAUAGAUACGUAUGAGUGAGUGCGUGGGUAUAUGCAUGCGUAUAUGCGUGCAUGUGUAUACGUACGUACAGAGAACCCUUAGGAAAGAAGGCGACGAAGGUUGUUUCGAAUGAACGAGUGAAUAAGCAAGGAGGAAAGAAAGAGAGAAAGAGAGAAAGACAGAAAGAGAGAGAAAGUAUCCAUGGUUUUUGCUGGACUUUCCUGCCAAGAAUAAAGGCUCGGGGGUACGUUAUGACCGCAGUAAAAUCUUACGACGAUCAUAACGCGAUCAUGAUGUGUAUAACGGCUACCAAAUACCACGUUCGAUAUUCUUUCAGUCCGAGUUCUGACCCUUCUUAAAGUGUUCGCAGGUAUAAAAAUUUCUGUGCAACGUACAAGAUGAAGACGUAAGUUUGGAUAGAUGCGAAAAAUUGCUAAAAUAUGGCAUCUGCUCCUGUAGCUGGCUGCAUUCUUCACGGUUACUUCUUCAAAACGAGAAGUAAAAAGUAUUGUUAAGAAACGGUGAAACGAAUCUUGGACGAAUUCCGGACACGCCACGGAAAUGGGUGUCACUUUUGGAGAAUUUAUUGGGAAGCAUACGUUACGGAUUUUACAAAGGUCAUUCCUUCGUUUUUGGGAAUAUAAAAUCAGUCGAUAAAAACGAUAGAAAAAUAUCACAGAGAAGUUAUAGAUAAAUACAGAAAACCUUAAGAGAUAAAACAUCGAAAUUUUGUACCUGGUUGGAAAUUUUCAGAACGACCGAAGUGUCAAACUAUUCUCCCACCUAACUAAUCGCCAUCAAGAAUCUUGUAUCCAGUAAAAAAUCUAUGUAACUACUGUCGAAACACUACCAUUAAGAAUUCCAGCAAUAACACUUGUGAAAAUAGAUAUCGCGAGGCGAUACCUCGCGAAAGUAAUAGAGAAAUUAAUUUAACUUCAAUUUUAAUGACGAUAAUGAAAAAUUGUAAAAAAACAGAAUCGAUAAAAAAAAAACAAAAAAAAGAAAGAAAGAAAAAAUGCAAGUUCGUUGUUCCCUUUUAUCCUUGAUCGAUAAUACGAACUCGAAGUCGGCAAGUACAAACAACGAGUAACAACGGAUCUCAUUGAAGAAAGAAAGAAAAAGCAACAAGAGAAAAAAAAAGAACAAACAAAAGAAAAAUACAACGAAGAGGAAAAGAAAAAACAGGAAAUAAAAUUUACAAAAAAAAAAAGAGAGAGAGAGAGAGAGAAAGAAAGAAAAAAAAGUAAAAUUUAUAACACUAGUCACGAUUAUGGCGGCGGCAAAGUUACGAAAGCGAGUCGAGAUUGGUUUUAUCGCGCGAAAACAACGAACCUUCGAGGAAGGGUGUAAGAAAAAAAAAAGAAAAGAAAGAAGGAAGGAAGGAAGGAAGAAAGAAAGAAAGCAAGGAAGAAAGAAAGAAAGAAAGAAAGAAAGAAAGAAAGAAAGGAAGGAAGGAAGGAAGAAAAAAGAAAGAAAAAAAAGAUGAAGGAGUCGGUAGGAGAACUCGGUCGCGCUUAUUUUAAUCGGAGCUCGACGUGCCUCCGAGAUUGUUUCGUCUCGCGGCAGCAACGAUGUUUAACUCGCCGUUUAAUCGCCGUUAACGAGCGGUUAUCGUUCGCUAACUGGAAACACGACGAUGCUAACGAGGCGAUCGGCCGGAAGCCACGAGCUACCCUCUUUAUUUUUACUUUUCCAUUUCUUUUCUUUCUUCUUUCUCUUACACGAAUAUAUAUAUGUAUGUAUGUAUGUAUGUAUGUAUGAACAUAUUUAUGCAUAUUUAUAUAUAACUGUUUAUAUAUGUA